AUUGAACGCUGGCGGCAUGCUUUACACAUGCAAGUCGAACGGUAACAGGUUAAGCUGACGAGUGGCGAACGGGUGAGUAAUGCAUCGGAACGUGCCCGAUCGUGGGGGAUAACGCAGCGAAAGCUGCGCUAAUACCGCAUACGAUCUGAGGAUGAAAGCGGGGGACCGUAAGGCCUCGCGCGAUCGGAGCGGCCGAUGUCAGAUUAGGUAGUUGGUGGGGUAAAGGCUCACCAAGCCAACGAUCUGUAGCUGGUCUGAGAGGACGACCAGCCACACUGGGACUGAGACACGGCCCAGACUCCUACGGGAGGCAGCAGUGGGGAAUUUUGGACAAUGGGCGAAAGCCUGAUCCAGCAGUGCCGCGUGCAGGAAGAAGGCCUUCGGGUUGUAAACUGCUUUUGUACGGAGCGAAAAGGCUCUCUCUAAUACAGGGGGCUCAUGACGGUACCGUAAGAAUAAGCACCGGCUAACUACGUGCCAGCCGCCGCGGUAA
rnacentral:rRNA from 1 species